rnacentral:tRNA from 1 species
GUGGAUGUAGCUCAGUGGUACAGCUCAGGCUUUGCAUGUAUGAGGUCCCAGGUUCGAUCCUGGGCAUCUCCA